rnacentral:rRNA from 1 species
UACGGGGGGGGGCAAGCGUUUGUUCGGAAUUACUGGGCGUAAAGGGCUCGUAGGUGGCCAACUAAGUCAGACGUGAAAUCCCUCGGCUUAACCGGGGAACUGCGUCUGAUACUGGAUGGCUUGAGAUUGGGAGAGGGAUGCGGAAUUCCAGGUGUAGCGGUGAAAUGCGUAGAUAUCUGGAGGAACACCGGUGGCGAAGGCGGGUCUCUGGGCAACAACUGACGCUGAGGAGCGAAAGCGUGGGGAGCGAACAGG